UGAGUAACACGUGAGUGACCUACCUUUUAGACUGGAACAACUUACCGAAAGGUGAGCUAAUGCCGGAUGAGUUAUAUAAGUGCAUGUUUAUAUAGGAAAAGUUGGGGAGACCUGACGCUGAAAGAUGGACUCGCGUCCCAUUAGCUAGUUGGUAGGGUAAUGGCCUACCAAGGCGACGAUGGGUAGCCGGCCUGAGAGGGUGGCCGGCCACACUGGGACUGAGACACGGCCCAGACUCCUACGGGAGGCAGCAG
rnacentral:rRNA from 1 species